GGGGGCGACCAGGUCUCGACGUGGUCGGUUCUCCGGCGGAGCUGCAAGCCGAGGUCUCCGGUUGGCCUCGUAAAACAACCGGAAGCAAAAGCAAGUGCGGAUAACGAACUCGCACUCGCCGCCUAACUAGCGUAGGCGGUCGCCGUCCCGGGUUGGGCCCGUGACCCGGAGCCGGCGCCAACGAACGGGCUCGGCGCAGAGGGAGAGCCAAUCGCCCGAAGCGCGACAGCGAAGGAUGGCUAGCCCGGCGGUAGGUCGGCUGUCCACCGGCCGGCGGGCGAAGCGCAAGGGCAGCCUAAGCUUGUAGACGCUUCGACCGGCGCGGCCGCGGACGCGGGUUCGAUUCCCGCCGCCUCCAUAC
rnacentral:tmRNA from 1 species